rfam:Microcoleus sp. PCC 7113, complete genome.
GCGGAUAUGGUGUAACGCUAGCAUCUGAGCCUUCCAAGCUUUAGGUACGAGUUCAAAUCUCGUUGUCCGCU